UACGUAGGGUGCGAGCGUUAAUCGGAAUUACUGGGCGUAAAGCGUGCGCAGGCGGUGAUGUAAGACCGAUGUGAAAUCCCCGGGCUUAACCUGGGAACUGCAUUUGUGACUGCAUGGCUAGAGUACGGUAGAGGGGGAUGGAAUUCCGCGUGUAGCAGUGAAAUGCGUAGAUAUGCGGAGGAACACCGAUGGCGAAGGCAAUCCCCUGGGCCUGCACUGACGCUCAUGCACGAAAGCGUGGGGAGCAAACAGG
rnacentral:rRNA from 1 species